AAAAAAAAACUAAGGUUAUCUCGCUUUCUCCUUAUCCGAUUUGUGAUUUCUCGCAUUUGCAUAAGGCCCUCUAGAACCACAACUCUUCCCCUCUUAAAUCUUUCAAUUUCUCAAAAUAGAACUCUGUAAGUACUUCUCAUUCCCAAUCGCAGCACAUAUUCGUUUCCAGGUUUUGGAUUAAUCUUUCUUCUUCGCUCCAUAUUAUGAAAUCUGAUGUGGGUUCAUGUAAUUAAGAGAGGAUGAACAACUCCAAAAUUUACGACAAGAGCAACUAAGAGAGGAUGAACAACUCCAAAAUUUACGACGAAGAAUGGACCACAACACAACCCAAGAAAAGUUGAUAGAUUCAAUCAGGACCGGAUGAUGCUAUGUCAGUGAAGAAUGAAUGAGUUAAAGUUUCGUUGACAGUGAGAAGAAAAUUCUGAGAAGAUAUUUGUGAAAUAUGAACCUUCCAAUUCUCUUGAUUCAGGUAUGGAUCUUCGGAAAGAUAAUUAAUCAUUGUGGAGGUUUACAUGAUAGAUACCAUACAUUAUUUUUCAGUACAAAAAAUUCACUGAGUGCAUAUUGGACAAGUCAAAGUGUGUUGGAGAUUCUUCUCAAAUUUUGCUCCAUAAUUACCUCAAAAGCAAAGCAAAGUGUGUUGGAGAUUUUUUUCUUCUUUGCAUCAAUGUUGCUCUUCUUUCAAGAGAGAUAUUUAAUUCUUCUAUUGCUUUGUAAUUCCAACGUAAUUGUUACUCAAAGUUAUGGCAAGGCAAGCGAAGAUUUGAUAUGA